AACGAACGCUGGCGGCAUGCCUAACACAUGCAAGUCGAACGAGACCUUCGGGUCUAGUGGCGCACGGGUGCGUAACGCGUGGGAACCUGCCCUUAGGUUCGGAAUAAUUCCCCGAAAGGGGUGCUAAUACCGGAUAAUGUCUUCGGACCAAAGAUUUAUCGCCUUUGGAUGGGCCCGCGUUGGAUUAGCUAGUUGGUAGGGUAAAAGCCUACCAAGGCGACGAUCCAUAGCUGGUCUGAGAGGAUGAUCAGCCACACUGGGACUGAGACACGGCCCAGACUCCUACGGGAGGCAGCAGUGGGGAAUAUUGGACAAUGGGCGAAAGCCUGAUCCAGCGAUGCCGCGUGAGUGAUGAAGGCCUUAGGGUUGUAAAGCUCUUUUACCCGGGAUGAUAAUGACAGUACCGGGAGAAUAAGCUCCGGCUAACUCCGUG
rnacentral:rRNA from 1 species